GUGGAUUAGAUACUCUGGUAGUCCACGCCGUAAACGAUGAAUACUAGGUGUGGGGGUUAUCAUGACCUCCGUGCCGCAGUUAACACAAUAAGUAUUCCGCCUGGGGAGUACGGUCGCAAGAUUAAAACUCAAAGGAAUUGACGGGGGCCAGCACAAGCAGCGGAGCAUGUGGUUUAAUUCGAAGCAACGCGAAGAACCUUACCUAGACUUGACAUCUCCUGAAUUACCGGUAAUGCGGGAAGCCCUUCGGGGCAGGAAGACAGGUGGUGCCCGGUUGUCGACAACU
rnacentral:rRNA from 1 species